UAAAGAAUUUCGGUAUGGGAUGGGGAUGCGUUCCAUUAGUUAGUUGGCGGGGUAACGGCCCACCAAGACAACGAUGGAUAGGGGUUCUGAGAGGAAGGUCCCCCACAUUGGAACUGAGACACGGUCCAAACUCCUACGGGAGGCAGCAGUGAGGAAUAUUGGUCAAUGGACGAGAGUCUGAACCAGCCAAGUAGCGUGAAGGAUGACUGCCCUAUGGGUUGUAAACUUCUUUUAUAUGGGAAUAAAAUGUUCCACGUGUGGGAUUUUGUAUGUACCAUAUGAAUAAGGAUCGGCUAACUCCGUGCCAGCAGCCGCGGUAAUACGGAGGAUCCGAGCGUUAUCCGGAUUUAUUGGGUUUAAAGGGAGCGUAGGUGGAUUGUUAAGUCAGUUGUGAAAGUUUGCGGCUCAACCGUAAAAUUGCAGUUGAAACUGGCAGUCUUGAGUACAGUAGAGGUGGGCGGAAUUCGUGGUGUAGCGGUGAAAUGCUUAGAUAUCACGAAGAACUCCGAUUGCGAAGGCAGCUCACUGGACUGCAACUGACACUGAGGCUCGAAAGUGUGGGUAUCAAACAGGAUUAGAUACCCUGGUAGUCCACACAGUAAACGAUGAAUACUCGCUGUUUGCGAUAUACAGCAA
rnacentral:rRNA from 1 species